UAUUAACAGCGUUACAUUUAUUUAUUUAUUUAAACCCAGAAGAAGAAUUAUGCAAUUAAACAUUACCAGGGCCCACAACCCACCCACUAGCACGUCACCCACUUUUGACCCACGAAUACGCGUAACGGUUGAAUUCAUCCUUAACCACGUACCCCUCGAACCUAUUUUAUUCCUCUUCUCCCCUGUCCGGCCUUAAAUCCCAAGAAACCUCGAAUAACUAGAACCCGUCGAUUCCAAAUAACCAUCUCAAGUUUUCUGAAAUUCGAUACGUUUUCAAUACAUUAAGAGAGAGAAAGUUAUGGUGAAGAAGCCUUCUAACUUUUUGUUCUUCUUCAAGAGGCUAAACAAGAAAGCGAGCGGUGGCGAAGGCCGAGACGUUGGCAGUAGUGGUGGUUCAAGCAGGUGGAAGUUCAAGAGCUCCACCGGGUUGCGGUGGAAGACCCGGUUCAGCUUGCGUCUUUUGUUCGUGGAUAAUAUUCUUUUCAAGAUUGUGUCCAUUUUUGAAGCCAUAAUUCUGGUUGCAACUCUCUGUUUCUUCUUUCUCUGCUGCGGGUGCCACUUCUGAUCAUUUUCUUGAUAAUCUACUUGUAAGCAUCCUUAUUGCUUAUUUUAUAAUCUUGAAUUUUAACAUGUAAGGAUGUUUUUAAUUUUAUGGGCCAAUAAAAAUCGAAUGUCAAUGGUAGUGUAAAGAAUAAUUCUUUCGACUUGGCUACUUCAUUUUUUUUUGUUAAUUAGUCUAAUGUUUUAAUUUUCAUUAUUCUUGUUAAUGUUUGUGUUCACUUCUCCGUAGAUUCAAUAUUUAGUGAUGUAAAGAAUCUAAUUUAACUAAAACAAAUUUUGGAAAAUUUUCCAAGGCAGAUCUCCUCCGUCCCAUCUCUCGGCCAUGACUCUACAUGCUUAAGAAGAAAUAUCAAGGUUACAUCAAUGAAUGAUGAAACAAUGCUCGUUUUUGAUAUAUACAGAGUACUUCGAAUCUAGUUUGUGACAGAUAGCCGAGCGCGUGGUUAAAAAAUAAGAAAAAGUUUU
rnacentral:lncRNA from 1 species